AGUGCUCCACAUGCACACUUGGCCAUGUACAGGGUGUGCAUAAUUCUUGGGUGUGCAUCCUCGGACAUAGUUGCCGGGUUAGAUGAAGCCGUCAAGGAUGGUGUUGAUGUGCUUUCACUCUCCCUCGGCCCCUUUUUUGAUGUCAACUUCACUGAUGAUCCGGUUGCCAUUGGCACAUUCAAUGCGGUAGCAAAGGGUGUUGUUGUCGUGGCUGCAGCUGGUAACAACGGGCCAAGGUCCUUUAUUGCCAACUCUGCACCAUGGUUGCUCACAGUUGCAGCUGGCUCGGUGGACCGAAGCUUCCAGACCGUUGUGCAGCUUGGCAACGGCGAGCACAUCAGUGGGGAAGCUUUCAAUCAGACCGCGAACUCAAGCUCCAACUCUGCUCCUCUGUAUUGGAACAAACACUGCAAGUCAUCAUUGGCUGGAAGAAAUGUGUCUGGCAAAAUUGUGAUUUGCCAUAACACAGGACCAAUGAAUGACACAGGGUCAGCAAUCAACCAGUCUGACAUCAGUGGCAUCAUGAGUGCCGGGGCGGCUGGCAUAGUCCUGAUCAACAGGAAAGAUGCUGGCUUCACCACCCUUCUGGAGGAUUAUUGCAGUGAUGUUGUGCAGGUGACCGUGGCUGAUGGCAACGAUAUCAUAGAGUAUGCAAGGGCAACAAGCAAAGCCAGUGCCAAAGUCAUAUACAAGAACACUGUGCUUGGUGUCCGUCCAUCUCCCACUGUCGCGGCAUUCUCAUCCCGCGGUCCCAGCACGUUCAGCCCCGGUGUGCUAAAGCCAGAUAUAUUAGCACCCGGGCUCAACAUCAUUGCUGCAUGGCCACCACUCACCAUUCUUGGAUCUGGGCCAUUCAACAUUAGAUCAGGGACAUCCAUGUCGACUCCACAUGUCAGUGGAAUCGCUGCGCUUGUCAAGAGCUCCCAUCCUGAUUGGUCUGCUGCUGCUAUCAAGUCAGCCAUCCUCACCACAGCUGAUAUCACGGACAGCGCUGGUGGCCCGAUCUUGGACGAGCAGCAUCAGAGGGCAACCGCGUAUGCCAUGGGUGCUGGCCAUGCCAAUCCUAUAAAAGCUAUUGAUCCGCUUGUGUAUGACCUUAGCAUCACUGAAUAUGCUGGCUACAUAUGUGCUCUCCUCGGUGAUCAAGGCUUGGCAACCAUUGCGCGUGACCCGACGCUGUCCUGCAAAAUGCUUCCCAAGAUACCAGAGGCACAGUUGAACUACCCAUCCAUAACAGUGCCACUCAGGUCAAGGCCAUUCACGGUGAACAGAACCGUGACAAAUGUGGGGCCAAUAAAUUCAGUAUACACACUGAAGAUGGAGGUUCCCAAGUCUCUCACAGUGCGAGUCUACCCAGAGACGCUGGUCUUCUCCAAGGUUGGACAAAAGAAAACAUUCAGCAUUACUGUGAGCAGGCAUCGCAGUGUCGGGUCAAAGGCCUUGCAGGGAAGUUUGAGCUGGGUGUCCAAAAAACAUGUUGUGCGUAGUCCGAUCGUGGCUUCUCCUCUGUUGUAA
rnacentral:rRNA from 1 species